GUAUGGAGUUGAAGUGUCAUGCCCAAGGAGGGAGAGGUGAUGGAAGCACUGGGCAGUGGUGAGCAGCAGACCUCAACUCCACCCCACCCUGCACUCACCAGGUGGGGGACCUCUUUGAGCCUUAACAUCCGUGCCUGGAAAAUGGGGCCGGCAUUUGUGUCUUGCAUACGUCUUGGCUGUUGCAAGCCUUGUGUCAGAUGAGAGCAGGUAUACGAGUGCUUUGGAAACUCCAAAGCUGUGUUUUUUCAAAUGUGAUCCAUGGACCAGAAGCAGCAGAAAGUGGAAACCUUCUGGAAUGCAGCCUAAGCCUCUCCCAGAGGGCAGCAGGAUCAGGGCAAGAAGGAGACAGCCCUUUAGAAAGGCAGCUGCCCAGUGAAGCCUAAGGAAGUGUGGCAGCGCCGUCCACCCUGUGUGUGACAUGGUGGAGGGUCUGUCCCUGAGCCGGCAGCCUGUACCCCACGCCUCUCAGCCCCCUCAGAAAGCCUCCUGCCCCCUGCACUCCCAGCCUCUCCCUUGUGCCCAUUCCCAUUGCUAGAAUUGUUGGCAACAGUGCAGCAGC
rnacentral:lncRNA from 10 species